rnacentral:rRNA from 1 species
ACUACGGGAGGCAGCAGUGAGGAAUAUUGGUCAAUGGGCGGAAGCCUGAACCAGCCAAGUAGCGUGCAGGAUGACGGCCCUACGGGUUGUAAACUGCUUUUAUACGGGAAUAACGCGCCUUACGUGUAGGGCUUUGCAUGUACCGUAUGAAUAAGGACCGGCUAAUUCCGUGCCAGCAGCCGCGGUAAUACGGAAGGUCCGGGCGUUAUCCGGAUUUAUUGGGUUUAAAGUGAGCGUAGGCCGCAUGUCAAGCGUGCUGUGAAAUGUCCGGGCUCAACCCGGGCCUUGCAGCGCGAACUGGCGUGCUUGAGUCCGCGGAAAGCAGGCGGAAUUCGUCGUGUAGCGGUGAAAUGCUUAGAUAUGACGAAGAACCCCGAUUGCGAAGGCAGCUUGCUGCAGCGGAACUGACGCUGAUGCUCGAAAGCGCGGGUAUCGAACAGGAUUAGAUACCCGAGUAGUC